ACUCUUUGGUUCAGACUUAGAAUCGUGACAAAUUUGAGAGUCCUGAGCUGUAGUGACCCCAAAUGAACAGAACGGGAGCUCACCCUCCCGGGGCGUUCGGGGACGUCUACAGUAACAUUUUCCACUCUUGCACCCCGUUUACAUUUUGUGUGUUGAGUAUUUGCUCUAAGCUAGUGAAAUAUGCCUCUUACAAAUCUGAUGGUGAGACACUCCUUUGCCAAGUGAGUCUUGUGGACAUUGUCUGGUUGUUUCCAACCUUUUAUUUAGAUUUGUUAUACAAGUAGCCCUUGCGCGAACAGGCUUCUAGCCCAGAGGCAAGAGUGGUUGGUAGCUCUCCUUUAGCUUAUAUCUGUACAACUUGUCACCCUUUGUUUAGAGGCUCCCCUUUCCAUACCCUUAGGUAGGGUUUGGUUUAUUGGAAUGAAGAUGGAUUUUUACAGAAGCUAAGGAAUGAGCAUUUCAUUUCAUUUCAUUCCAUUCCAUUCCAUUUUCAUUCCAGUGAACCAAACAUAGCAUUAAGAGUAGGCUGAAUAUAUAAACUAUAUUUUGAAUCCUCAAAAUGUAGCACUUGCAUAUUGUCUUUCAUCUCUCUGGUUUUGCCUGUCACCAGUUACUUUCUGUUUAAUGAUCUUAGGAGUUCCAUAGUUUGAAAGGGACUUGGGAAGGAUGAGAGUGGCAUGGUAGAGCCUGUGCAAGCACAAGCAAUGGAAAAAAGAGCAGGACUGGGGAGUCAGCAAAAGAAGUUGGAUCCAAACUUGGGGGUGCAAGCUGGAGACAGUUAUUGAACUCUCAUUCAGAAGAAGACCAUUGCCAGGUUCAGAGAGAUGUCAGAGGAUUAAGGAGAUGAUAUUCAAAACAGUAAAUGGAUGGUUGUGCCAGAGAUUCAGAGUUGGAUGAAUAAGUAGAGUCGUGGAAAAUGCUUCUAGGUUAUGAAGCUCCCAUUACGGGGUUCUUUUUGUAAGAAUGAUGUUAAGGUUUCUUGCUCUUGUAAAUGGUCAAAAUUAUAGUUAGAAUAUAAACUUCUGUUUAAGGAUCUUAUAUUACAAGUGGUUUUCCUAUUGCUCAUGAGGAGGUUGUGAGUACUUUCUGAUUCAGUUAUGAAAUCUCUGGCCCUAUUUGGCUUCCUUAUUUUGGAAAGCUUUUCGGCCUAUUUUUU